UACAGAGGAGCCAAGCGUUGUCCGGAUUGACUGGGCGUAAAGCGCACGCAGGCGGGUGCGCGCGUGGGGUGUGAAAUCUGGCCGCUUAACGGCCAGGCGCCAUCCCAUACGGCGCGUCUGGAGUGAUGCAGAGGUCGAUGGAAUUGCCGGUGUAGUGGUGAAAUGCGUAGAGAUCGGCAGGAACACCCAGGGGGAAACCAGUCGACUGGGCAUCUACUGACGCUGAGGUGCGAGAGCGUGGGAG
rnacentral:rRNA from 1 species